rnacentral:lncRNA from 1 species
CCGGCCGGGCAGCUGAGGGGCGGGCGGGCGCGCUCCCGACACAGCCGACGCCCGCCGGCAGCGCAGCGGCCAGAGCCUAGCUCUUUCGAGGCGCAGCCGGGGCCGGACGGGACGCGCGGGCUACGCGCCGCGCUAGCUGUGCGCGUCCGAGCGUCUCCCACGCGGGUCCGCGGACGGUGAACAGAAGCUGGCAGAGUCUCCAAGGCCGACACCUCGGAGCCGGGGCAGCUGUCGGGCCGAGGGCGCCCGGGCCUCCCUUCAGUGCGCCAGCCUAGCCGCCAGGCGCGCCGUCCCGCCGGCCGCCUCAGCAGCGCUCCCGCACAGCGAGACUCAGCCCCAGCACGGAGCCGAGCCUCGGGCCCCUGCGCUCCGCCCCCUAAGAACAGGACCUCCCCGGGCGCUUUCCGAAAGACACUACGUUGCACGCGCGCGCACACACUCUCUCUCUCUCUCUCUCUCACACACACACACACACACACACACACACACUCACUCACACAAUGCCCCCGUGCGGCGCCCACUCUGGAUCGCCCCUUGGUUUCGGUGCGCCCGGCGCGAUCCUCCCCUUCCUCCUCCUCGGGAGAGGGUGGGUCACUUCUCCGCGGCGCCCGGGAAAGAGCGGGGGGCGGACAGAGGGAAAACGGAAAUCGCGAGGGUCUCGUGCGGGCUCAGGGCAGGUCCUGGGCUACGCAGGGAGCCGCUGGUAGCAGCGAAACGCGGGGCGUCGCUGGGCGGCAGGAGCUGGGCAGGGCGCAAGUCCCGCGGGAGGGUGGGUCCGCUCUCGCCGCCGCCGGAGAGGGCGGGGAGCGGCGGAGGAACCAGGCACUCGGCGCUUGGCUUCGUAGAACGACCCCACUGUCCCGUCCCCUCACGCUCCAGCGCCGCUUCCCCAGCCGCGGGGCGCGCGGUAGGCUCAAAGCGGCCGGGCCUCCCCGUUCCCUCUCCCUUUCCUUCUUCCCCUCCCCCGUUCGGGCCGGCUCCGGUUUCUGCCUAGACUUUCUCUGAAACUCCGGCGGAGCGCUUCCAGCCAAAACAACAAGGGCCGGGGGCGGAGGGAGCGGACGGAGGGAGGGAGCGAGAGAAGG